UAAUAAAUUACAGUCUGAUUUUUUAAAAACAUUUAGGCUAUCAACAUAGCCUAAACAAAAUAUCGAAAAUUACAUUAAAAAGUUAAGUCAUUCGUUGCCCUCCCGCCCUUUGAGAAACAACAUAAUUCUAAUUUACCAAUUGAAUCAAAAGUAACUAGCCAACCAUUAAUUCCACCAAAUAUUGAAAUCUGGACACGAACAACUGCUUCGCCACUGUUGCCAUAGACUCACCGCGGUAAAUCCAUUUGUUUACAGGAAGCUCUUUCUUGUUCGCUCCCAACCGAAAAUGAAAAUGCCAUUGCAGUCACGAUUGUAGGCUACGUUAUCUGUUUGUGUGGGGGUGGGGAGGGCGACCUAUGGCUAUUUAACCCCUAAAUCGGUUUAUGUUUAACGUGCCCUAACCAGAGAUUGAAUAAAUAAUGACAGUGCUCGCCCUAACAUUACAGUCGAUGUCGCAUUAAUGUAACGUACUAAGUGGAUACAAUUCUCUAUUCAGAGGGACACACGCCGGUUACCGUUCCCCACGAGAAUUUGUCAGGCGCCCUGUCCGUUCAACGAAUUGCUGUUUUUAAGUGCUUUUACAUUGUCAUGUGAUUGUAACGUAACCCGACCGGAAAACACCGACGACCAUCGCCGCCAAUGCUGCUUAAGAGGAACAGAGCAGCUGCGAGCCCAACUGACAAGUCCCCGGGUAACAAACAACAACACGGAUUCAAGCAGAGUAAAAGGAUUGAAGAAUGGAGUUGGCCAAACAUGGUCUUAUGCUCCUGCAGCAGCUCAACGCUCAGAGGGAGUUUGGCUUCCUGUGCGACUGCACCGUCGUGAUCGGCGAUGUCUUCUUCAAAGCCCACAAGGCCGUGUUGGCCGCCUUCUCCAACUACUUCAGAAUGCUCUUCAUACACCAGGACAGUGAUUGUGUCCGCCUGAAGGCAGCCGACAUCCAGCCAGACAUCUUCAGCUACCUCCUCAACCUGAUGUACACAGGGAAGCUGGCCCCUCAGCUCAUCGACCCAGCCCGGCUGGAGCAGGGGGUCAAGUUCCUCCACGCCUACCCCCUCCUCCAGGAGGCAAGCCAGACAGCCUUCUCCCACCCCGAGCCAAGCAUGCCCCUCUCUACUUCCCUCUUUGGCAUUCAGAUCUCUGACCAGCAGGUGGCGCUGUCCGGCAGGCUGCCUGCUCGACGCCAGCUCUCCUCGCCCUUUGACCUGGACAGCCUCCCUGAUGGGAAGUAUCCGUCCACGUCUGCUGUAGCAGCGGCGUUCGCCAACCAUGCGUCCAAUCUGGACUCUUCAUUUCAGGAAAUGGUGGAGGCUUCAACCAGUGGCCAUCCGGCCUCGUAUGAGGACAAGCAUAGAGGUGACACCCUGACAGGAGAGGCUCCCUACCCGGAUAACUCCAACACCAUUCUCCAUGUGAAACCAAGCAUCAUGAAGAGGAGUGCCUCCUUCAGGAAGCACUACUCCUGCCACCUGUGUGCCAGCCGCUUCAACCAGAGGAACCUGUUGAGGGAGCAUCUCCUGCAGCACAGCCAGGCCCAGCUCCCCCUGGUGGCCGAACCCAGCGAUGCAGACUCCCCUGUCAUCCCAGGAGGAGGAGCCACCACACCAGAUGUAGAGGAGGUGCUGCUAAGGGGAGGUGGAGAACCGUCCACUGACAUGACAGUUGAGAUGCUGAGUGACAGCGAGCAAGCACCUCUCUCUGGUUCCAACAUGGACUCUCCCAGAGCUGAGUUGUCGACGUCGGGGUGGGCGACGGGGUAUCAGUCCCAGGCCAACACCCCACCCCCAUCGGACAUUGCGGAUAUCGACAACCUUGAGAGUGCUGACCUGGACCACGAGGUGAAGCGCAGAAAGUACGAGUGCUCCACCUGCGGUCGCAAGUUCAUCCAGAAGAGCCACUGGCGAGAGCACAUGUACAUACACACGGGUAAGCCCUACAAGUGCAGCGCCUGUGGCAAGAGCUUCUGUCGUGCCAACCAGGCAGCGCGCCACGUGUGUCUGAGCCAGGGCGCCGAAGCCUACACCAUGGUGGACCGGCAGAGUAUGGAGCUGUGUGCUGCAGGGGACGACACCAGCCAGAUGGAGGUGCUGUACUUAGGCUCGGCCAGGCCCUACAAGUGUAAUGUCUGUGAGACCACCUUCUCCAGCCCCAACGAGGUCAUCAAGCACCUGUGCUUCAGCCAAGGGGCGGUAGCAGGCCUGCAGGGGCAGGCAGGGGUGGAGCUGCUGCAGGGGGAGGAGUUUCCCAAAGACCAGGGCUCUGAUUCGUCCGGCGCAGGCCACCUCAUUACGCCCAUAAAAACUGAGCAGAUCUUGGUGGAGUAGCACCACAACACAAGAACCAGUCUUAUAUUUUUGUUUUCUUAUACAUGUUUAUUUUUUACAUUGGUAAGUUAUGGUCUGUAGUUAAGCUAAAGGUUUAGUUAAGUUCUGUAUGUGUAGGGGAUUUGUAUCUACUAAAAAAUGCUUCCUUAAGAUUAUUUAACAGCAAAAGCCAGAGACUGGGACGUUUUGUUGUUGAACAUCACACCACCAGCCAGAGAAAUGUUUAUUAAGUGUCCAUGUGAAAACCACACACUGUACAAACUGUCAUAUUUCUGACAUGGUGUUGCAUUAGUUUGUCCAUUUGUCCUCUUAUGCAUAAGCAUGUCACACUGACCAGUUGGCAAAGUAGUAUGUCACUAUAUGUUACUCAACAUAUAUGUGCUGCAGUAGAGUUCCUAUUGUAAGUAUGACUUGGCCCUUGUCAUAUUGUCAGUCUCUUUUUGGUGCUGAAUUUUCAUAGAUAGGUCUGUCACAUUGGUUUCUGUUACAUUUAUUUAAAGUGGCCGUUGGCUGUUGUCGAGCCUCACUCAGCUUUUAGCUCCAGACAGGAACAGGAAGCUGAGAUAGAGUUCCGGAGGAAGUAAUGUUUGUCUACAGUCCAAUGAUGGAGUAGAUGCCAGGGGAAGCAACAGGCAGGCAGGCACACAGACAGAAUGGUGGUCUCAACACGAAGAGAAAGACUGGCUACUUUUCUACAGAUUGGUGACUAGGAGGGUCAGGCUCAGAUCCAUUUAGACCCCUAGCCCUGUCCGCUAGCUUGUUUCUACCCCUUUGGUGUCUACCGAUUAUGGAUGUAGCUUUGGACUCGGGGGACAUGCUGCUAACAGAUUGACUGCCUAUAGGCAGUUCACCCUGUGGGCAAGAGGACACUUGGGAAAAGGUAGUGCCUAUACCUGCCUGUGUGGUCCAUGCAAUCCGAACGCAGUUCCCUUCUGAGGAGUACUACGGAUUUGAAUAUGCUUUUUAUGAUGGAAACAUUUUGACGUGCUCGUGUAGCCUACUUUACAUGUUGUUGUUUAUCCUUCAUCUAUUUUAUGCAGCCUACUGUAGCAGGGCCAUCACCAGAAUUGCAUAACAUUUGGGGCUCAGUCCUGAAGACCGGGGCUGAGGGGUUUGUGGGUCCAUGAAAAAAAGGGCAGUUUAUAAAAUAAUUUCCUGCAAUUCUAUGUCAUUUUACGUGACUGGAGACAUUACAAUAAUAUUUUUUUAUACCACACAAAUGAUCAAAAUGACAAGCUACUCUGAAAUGUACAUACUGAGAUCAAUAAAAUGAAUGACCCAUGUCUUAAAUACAACCAAUAGCAUAGGCCAAUGAAAAGAGUGGAUACACAGAUUUUAGGCCUACAAUAUGAGGAGGAAAAUAUAGUCCACCAAUUUUCCAGUGGCACUCACCUAUUCAAACAGAUUUUUCCCGCCAUUGUGUUUUGAAAUAUUGCCAAAUACCUUCAAGCUGCUGCCUGCUGUUCAUUGACAGCCACAACUCAACAAUCAGCUGUUUUAUAUUUACCAUGCAGGCUGCCCAAUUGCGGGAUUCCCGACUAGACUAGGCCUAUGCGCUCAUAAUAUGACACAUUCUUAAAAAUAAGCUAUUGAUCCUCUGUGGCUAAAUUAUGCUUGUGUAGUAUUUUCAAUGAUUUCAUUUACUUAUAGAGACAGGAGUGUGGUACUAGGGGGUAACUAGCCCCCCCCCAAGACCAUUGUCUAAUUGCUGACACAAAAAAAGCAACGUUUGGAAAAAAAAUUGGUAUGUGAAUGAAGGUCAUGCUUAAGCGAAUAAACUAUAAAAGGAAAUAAAUGGCCACAGUUUACACUUUUUUAGUUAUUUCAUGAAAUGUUGUUUUUAGAAAAGAGGUGUUUUACAAAAAGUACCGGGGGGUUCACACAAGUGUGUUAAAACGAAUUUAAUCAGUUUUAUUUAGACAUUCUUUAGUAAUUAAUACUUAAAAUCUAAGUCUAGUUGUCUUAUUUUAAUUAUUUUAAUAAAAUAUGGGGGGGGGGGUGUGUUCCACAUGUCACCAUUAAUAUCUGCACUAUGAUGAGAUUUGAUGUAAAGUCUUUCUUUUUAACUCACCUGCACAUACAUUUUCUUUGUUCUUUCUUUGUUGUUCCUUUUCCAUACAAUCCAUUAUAUACAAUUGCACUAAAUAUUAUUUGAAUAGUGCACGAUUUUAAAUCCCAGCAAUCUUUGAAAACACAUUCAGGAGCAAAAGGUUUUCAAUAGUUGUUUUUAAUUCAUUUAAGAAGAUAUUCAUUGGAAUAUAACAUUGGAAUGGAAUAUAACUAAUAACAUUAAAUAACAUUGGAAUAUAACAUUUUAAUAACUAACUUAACCAAUUAAUUCAGUGUAACAUUGAUGUGGCAACUCUCUUAUACUCUGCUAUUGCACGAUUCUAAUUUGUACAUUGAUCACAAAUAAAGCUAUCCCCAGUAAAAUUGGAGCACAACUCAUGAGCCCACCUGUGACCAAAAACAUGGGGAGAGAUGCCAAAUGCAAUAAAGUAACAUUAACUGUAAAGCUAUCAGUCACUAGUGGAAACAUUUACAACUGCAAUUAAGUUAUGUUAUCUUUUUAAUGUAUUUUACCUCAGACGAUCUCGUAGUAAGGUUGCUAGCUAGCACUAACAGGCUAGCAUUUACUGCUAGUGAAGUUGCUAGCUAGCAAGUUAGAAUAAACUAGCACUAUCUGGGCUAGUCAUUGUCUAAAUGACAGGUAGAAACACAUUCAUAACCAUAAAGGGGUAACUAGCCCCCAGGGGCCAGUUACCCACUAGGGGUGGAGCGAGUUGCCCCCAACACCCUCAUCCAACAUAUUACUAAUUUACUCAAAAAUGAUCUAAAUAUUUAUCUCUAAACAAGUGGAUUAUUUAUCGUAAGGCUUUCCUACUUGUAUAUUUAAAAAACAAUUAUAGAUCUAACUUCAUUGGAAUAUAUCUUUUUCAAAAUUUCAAAAAAUUUGAUACAUUUACCACACAAAUGUUUUGUUUAAAUAUCUCAAAAAGUUGUGAUGACACAGUGGAAUUUUUGUUGUUGAGCAAGAGCAGUGGCAGCCAGGGAAAGUGUUGGCAAAAUAAUUAGGUGAAAUCUUGUGUUCUUAAUGUGAAUUACAGGGGGCUAGUUACCCCCUAGUACCCAAUUGGUUGGGUGGGACACUUAAGCUUUGUAAUGGAUAUCUUUGGAAUGUGUACAAUAACAUAACCAACAAUCAAUGCUUGUGUUUUAGUGAGGAAGUAUGUGAUGAUAAAAAAUGAGUUCAAUCGGUAUGAUGACAUCAUUGUGGGUGUGGCAUCCUGUGUAAUGACAACUCUAGAGGCAUAAUGGUAAGUAAAAUGAUAUAGGGUUCUGAAGUAAAUAAUGUUAAGGUUAUAUAAAAUUAAGAAAGGAUAUUCAGUGUCUCAUUACAACAUAUUUUGUAAUGGGAUGUAAUUGUAAUUCAAAAUGACUGUAAAUGGUUUUCUUACUACUACUCACAUUUUUUAAAUAUGUCCAAGUACGCCAAUCACCUACUGUCAAACUGGGACACUACUCUAGGCCAUUUUAAUGCAGAAAAAAAUAUGUAGUCUGAUUAUGAAAUAUAUGUUUUCUUAACAGAAAUCCAUUUUCUAAAUAGGAUCAAAUGUUCAAUUUCAUUUUCCUCAAAUCUGCUAUCAGCUAGCUUGCUAGAAAAAGCGAGCAUAGCUGCAUUUUACUUAGAACGAUGUUACCUCACCAACAUAAAAAAGUCCUAGCUAGCUUUUUUCAUAACCAUACAGGUAUAAAAGUUUAUUUUGCUGUAUUUGACUCUGAUGACAAUAAAACAGUCUUUGAAAUGUUGAGGGGUAAGGUCUUUCUGAUUUCAUCUACAAAAUGUCCAUUAGAGUGUAGUGUUGAGAAUGUUGAGGUGAUAGGCCUAGAUGAAGUUAAUUUCAUUGUAUUUAUAGGCUAUACAAUUACAGAUAGGCGACAUCAUAUAAUUAUAAAGUAUGAGGAUGAUGUUAAUAAUUAUAAUAAUAAAUGAUAAUGUUACACAAAAAUACAUAAAUAAUGUUUUAAUACAUUUAAUUUGUAUGAAUAAUUGAAGUUUAUCAUAAAAAUAUGGAAAUUACUCCAAUUUAUUCUUUACAAUAAAUAAUGAAGUGUCCUACUUUGCCAAUCAAGGUGUCCCAAUUUGACAGUAUCGACUUAAAAAAUGUGGUCUCCGCACAAUUUGUGUUUGAAGAAUAGUCAUCCAUCUUGUGUUUUAAUAUUUCUUAAUUUUUUAUUUUGAAUAGUGCAGUAGAGUUCUUAAGCUAUUUAGAAUUAAAUCUAUAAAGUGUUUGCGGAAAAAUAAUUUUCUGAAUAUGUCCCACAUUACCAAUACUCACCCUAAUUCUAUAAUUUGGCAAAUAUAUUUCAAUUAUUCUGCAGCACUGUCACGACUUCCGCCGAGGCUGCCCCCCCUCCUGGUUCAGGCAGGCUUCGGCGUUCGUCGUCA